rnacentral:tRNA from 1 species
GGGGCCAGGAACUACGGAUCGUCAACAGUACAGUUGCAUGGCAAUCAAGAGGUCGUCGGUUCGAUUCCGAUUGGCUCCACCA